rnacentral:hammerhead_ribozyme from 1 species
AUUCAUCCGAGGAGUCCCGAAAAGGACGAAACGCGCUUCCUGGAU